rnacentral:rRNA from 1 species
UACGUAGGGAGCAAGCGUUGUCCGGAAUCAUUGGGCGUAAAGCGCGCGUAGGUGGCCUCGUAAGUCCGCUGUGAAAGUCGAAGGCUCAACCUUUGAAAGCCGGUGGAUACUGUGAGGCUAGAGUACGGAAGAGGCGAGUGGAAUUCCUGGUGUAGCGGUGGAAUGCGCAGAUAUCAGGAGGAACACCAAUAGCGAAGGCAGCUCGCUGGGACGUUACUGACACUGAGGUGCGAAAGCGUGGGGAGCAAACAGG